UGCCAGCAGCCGCGGUAAUACGUAGGGGGCAAGCGUUAUCCGGAAUCACUGGGCGUAAAGGGAGUGUAGGCGGUCAAGCAAGUCAGGGGUGAAAGGCAUCGGCUCAACCGAUGUAAGCCUUUGAAACUGUUUGACUUGAGUGCAGGAGAGGUAAGUGGAAUUCCUAGUGUAGCGGUGAAAUGCGUAGAUAUUAGGAGGAACACCAGUGGCGAAGGCGACUUACUGGACUGUAACUGACGCUGAGGCUCGAAAGCGUGGGGAGCGAACAGGAUUAGAUA
rnacentral:rRNA from 1 species